rnacentral:rRNA from 1 species
GGCGGCGUGCUUACACAUGCAAGUCGAGUGCGCGUGCCGUAGCAAUACGGUAUGGCGCACGGCGCACGGGUGCGUAACACGUGGGUAACCUGCCCUUUGGUGGGGAAUAACUCCGGGAAACCGAAGCUAAUUCCGCAUAAGAUCCGCAAGGAUGAAAGCCGCAAGGCGCCGAUGGAGGGGCCCGCGCCCGAUUAGCUAGUUGGCAGGGUAACGGCCUACCAAGGCUUUGAUCGGUAGCUGGUCUGAGAGGAUGGCCAGCCACACUGGAACUGAGACACGGUCCAGACUCCUACGGGAGGCAGCAGUGGGGAAUCUUGCGCAAUGGGCGAAAGCCUGACGCAGCGACGCCGCGUGGGGGAUGAAGCUUCUCGGAGUGUAAACCCCUUUCGACCCGGACGAAUACCCGCAAGGGGGUGACGGUACGGGUAGAAGAAGCCCCGGCUAACUACGUGCCAGCAGCCGCGGUAAGACGUAGGGGGCCAGCGUUGUUCGGAAUUACUGGUGUAAAGGGUUCGUANGCGGUGUGGCAAGUCGGGAGUGAAAUCUUUGGGCUUAACUCA